GAUGAACGCUGGCGGCGUGCCUAAUACAUGCAAGUCGAGCGAACGGACGAGAAGCUUGCUUCUCUGAUGUUAGCGGCGGACGGGUGAGUAACACGUGGAUAACCUACCUAUAAGACUGGGAUAACUUCGGGAAACCGGAGCUAAUACCGGAUAAUAUUUUGAACCGCAUGGUUCAAAAGUGAAAGACGGUCUUGCUGUCACUUAUAGAUGGAUCCGCGCUGCAUUAGCUAGUUGGUAAGGUAACGGCUUACCAAGGCAACGAUGCAUAGCCGACCUGAGAGGGUGAUCGGCCACACUGGAACUGAGACACGGUCCAGACUCCUACGGGAGGCAGCAGUAGGGAAUCUUCCGCAAUGGGCGAAAGCCUGACGGAGCAACGCCGCGUGAGUGAUGAAGGUCUUCGGAUCGUAAAACUCUGUUAUUAGGGAAGAACAUAUGUGUAAGUAACUGUGCACAUCUUGACGGUACCUAAUCAGAAAGCCACGGCUAACUACGUGCCAGCAGCCGCGGUAAUACGUAGGUGGCAAGCGUUAUCCGGAAUUUAUGGGCGUAAAGCGCGCGUAGGCGGUUUUUUAAGUCUGAUGUGAAAGCCCACGGCUCAACCGUGGAGGGUCAUUGGAAACUGGAAAACUUGAGUGCAGAAGAGGAAAGUGGAAUUCCAUGUGUAGCGGUGAAAUGCGCAGAGAUAUGGAGGAACACCAGUGGCGAAGGCGACUUUCUGGUCUGUAACUGACGCUGAUGUGCGAAAGCGUGGGGAUCAAACAGGAUUAGAUACCCUGGUAGUCCACGCCGUAAACGAUGAGUGCUAAGUGUUAGGGGGUUUCCGCCCCUUAGUGCUGCAGCUAACGCAUUAAGCACUCCGCCUGGGGAGUACGACCGCAAGGUUGAAACUCAAAGGAAUUGACGGGGACCCGCACAAGCGGUGGAGCAUGUGGUUUAAUUCGAAGCAACGCGAAGAACCUUACCAAAUCUUGACAUCCUUUGACAACUCUAGAGAUAGAGCUUUCCCCUUCGGGGGACAAAGUGACAGGUGGUGCAUGGUUGUCGUCAGCUCGUGUCGUGAGAUGUUGGGUUAAGUCCCGCAACGAGCGCAACCCUUAAGCUUAGUUGCCAUCAUUAAGUUGGGCACUCUAAGUUGACUGCCGGUGACAAACCGGAGGAAGGUGGGGAUGACGUCAAAUCAUCAUGCCCCUUAUGAUUUGGGCUACACACGUGCUACAAUGGACAAUACAAAGGGCAGCGAAACCGUGAGGUCAAGCAAAUCCCAUAAAGUUGUUCUCAGUUCGGAUUGUAGUCUGCAACUCGACUACAUGAAGCUGGAAUCGCUAGUAAUCGUAGAUCAGCAUGCUACGGUGGAUACGUUCCCGGGUCU
rnacentral:rRNA from 1 species